rnacentral:snRNA from 1 species
GUGCUUGCUUCGGCAGCACAUAUACUAAAAUUGGAACUAUACAGAGAAGAUUAGCAUGGCCCCUGUGCAAGGAUGACACAUAAAUUUGUUAAGCAUUCCAUAUUUUU